rnacentral:rRNA from 1 species
GAUGAACGCUGGCGGCGUGCCUAAUACAUGCAAGUAGAACGCUGAAGGAAGGAGCUUGCUCUUUCCGGAUGAGUUGCGAACGGGUGAGUAACGCGUAGGUAACCUGCCUGGUAGCGGGGGAUAACUAUUGGAAACGAUAGCUAAUACCGCAUAACAGUAGAUGUUGCAUGAUAUCUACUUAAAAGGUGCAAUUGCACCACUACCAGAUGGACCUGCGUUGUAUUAGCUAGUUGGUGAGGUAACGGCUCACCAAGGCGACGAUACAUAGCCGACCUGAGAGGGUGAUCGGCCACACUGGAACUGAGACACGGCCCAGACUCCUACGGGAGGCAGCAGUAGGGAAUCUUCGGCAAUGGACGGAAGUCUGACCGAGCAACGCCGCGUGAGUGAAGAAGGUUUUCGGAUCGUAAAGCUCUGUUGUAAGAGAAGAACGAGUGUGAGAGUGGAAAGUUCACACUGUGACGGUAUCUUACCAGAAAGGGACGGCUAACUACGUG